GAUUAACGCUGGCGGCGUGCCUAACACAUGCAAGUCGAACGAGGUAGCAAUACCUAGUGGCAGACGGGUGAGUAACGCGUGGUCAACCUACCGUUGAGUGGGGGAUAACUAGCCGAAGGUUAGCUAAUACCGCAUACGUCUCCGAGGGGCAUCCCUUGGCGAUAAAAGGAGCAAUCCGCUCGAUGACGGGACCGCGUCCCAUUAGCUAGAUGGUGGGGUAACGGCCUACCAUGGCACCGAUGGGUAGCUGGUUUGAGAGAGCGACCAGCCACACUGGGGACUGAGAAACGGCCCAGACUCCUACGGGAGGCAGCAGUGAGGAAUUUUCCGCAAUGGGGCGCAAGCCUGACGGAGCGACGCCGCGUGUGGGAAG
rnacentral:rRNA from 1 species